UCUCUGCUUUGAUUUCAUCUGGUAUGUAGCACCUGUGGGAGACCAGCGGAUAAACGGGAAGGUCGUCCCAGGCAAUAGAAUAAUCAGAGCCAGGUGGCAACAAUGAUGGUGGAACUGAUAUUAGGUGAGAGUUCGGGCCUUACUGUCUUGGACCAUGGGCUCGUUAUGAGGCAUGUAAGGAGGCAACUGCCAGGAUGUGGUAUGUAGCACCUCUGGAGACCAGCGGAUAAACGGGAAGGUCGUCCCAGGCAAUAGAAUAAUCAGAGCCAGUUGGCAAAGUAAGUUUCUGAGGACACCUAGAGGCAAACUUUUCCUUCCUCCCCAGGAUGUUGACAGAGUCGUCGUAGGGUCGGGGUGGACCGUAGAGGGGGUUAUAUUAUUGAAUAUAAAAAAAACCGUUGGAAGACCAAGGGCCUUGAUAUCAAGUCUGCCUAAUGCGAGUAGGCCUAUAAUAAUAAAUCCCCUUUCAUUCAAAGUUUCCUACUUACGGGAAGGAGGAGAACUUCACGCACGCAUUAAAUGGUUGUAGAGCUUCGCCCUCAAGACUACUGGAGGGAGGACUGCACGCACUCAUUCAGUUGCUGUGAGUGGAGGCAUUCCAAAGUGACUAUUGGUCUCAAGCCCUUUGAAGGAAUACCCGCCUGAAGAUAUGAGGAAGACCCUGACAUGUUUUCCCGACAACUGUUGGUCUCAAGACCUUGAAAGAUUACCCCCCCUGAAGAUUUGAGGGAGACAUGACACGUAGGAGUUUCAUUUCGUAUUUUCAUCUGUUGAAGGAGUCGUUCUACAACGUCAAAUAUCACUUUUUUUCCAUCAAAUUAAACGGGCAUCGACUGCUG